rnacentral:rRNA from 1 species
UGGGGAAUUUUGGACAAUGGGGGCAACCCUGAUCCAGCCAUGCCGCGUGCGGGAAGAAGGCCUUCGGGUUGUAAACCGCUUUUAGUCGGGAAGAAAAGGCCAAGGUGAAUACCCUUGGUUUUUGACGGUACCGGCGGAAUAAGCACCGGCUAACUACGUGCCAGCAGCCGCGGUAAUACGUAGGGUGCGAGCGUUAAUCGGAAUUACUGGGCGUAAAGCGUGCGCAGGCGGUUCGCUGUGUCCGAUGUGAAAGCCCCGGGCUUAACCUGGGAAUGGCAUGGGAAACUGGCGGGCUUGAGUGUGGCAGAGGGGGGUGGAAUUCCGCGUGUAGCAGUGAAAUGCGUAGAGAUGCGGAGGAACACCGAUGGCGAAGGCAGCCCCCUGGGCUAACACUGACGCUCAGGCACGAAAGCGUGGGGAGCAAAC